rnacentral:piRNA from 1 species
UGUGGUCACAUUGACACUGCCUGGUGAA